AUUGAACGCUGGCGGCAGGCCUAACACAUGCAAGUCGAACGAGUGGCGGACGGGUGAGUAAUGUGUGGGAAACUGCCUGAUGGAGGGGGAUAACUACUGGACACGGUAGCUAAUACCGCAUACCAUCGGAAAUGCCCAUAUGGGAUUAGCUAGGAGGUGGGGUAAAGGCUCACCUAGGCGACGAUCCCUAGCUGGUCUGAGAGGAUGCCCAGCCACACUGGAACUGAGACACGGUCCAGACUCCUACGGGAGGCAGCAGUGGGGAAUAUUGCACAAGGGGCGCAAGCCUGAUGCAGCCAUGCCGCGUGUAUGAAGAAGGCCUUCGGGUUGUAAAGUACUUUCAGCGGGGAGGCGUUACCCACAGAAGAAGCACCGGCUAACUCCGUGCCAGCAGCCGCGGUAAUAC
rnacentral:rRNA from 1 species